rnacentral:rRNA from 1 species
UGGGGAAUAUUGGACAAUGGGCGCAAGCCUGAUUCAGCCAUGCCGCGUGAGUGAUGAAGGCCUUAGGGUUGUAAAGCUCUUUCGGCGGGGACGAUAAUGACGGUACCCGCAGAAGAAGCCCCGGCUAACUUCGUGCCAGCAGCCGCGGUAAUACGAAGGGGGCUAGCGUUGCUCGGAAUCACUGGGCGUAAAGGGCGCGUAGGCGGACAUUUAAGUCGGGGGUGAAAGCCCAGGGCUCAACCCUGGAAUUGCCUCCGAUACUGGGUGUCUCGAGACCGGAAGAGGUGAGUGGAACUGCGAGUGUAGAGGUGAAAUUCGUAGAUAUUCGCAAGAACACCAGUGGCGAAGGCGGCUCACUGGUCCGGUUCUGACGCUGAGGCGCGAAAGCGUGGGGAGCAAACAGGAUUAGAUACCCUGGUAGUCCACGCCGUAAACGAUGGAUGCUAGCCGUUGGCAGGCUUGCCUGUCAGUGGCGCAGCUAACGCUUUAAGCAUCCCGCCUGGGGAGUACGGCCGCAAGGUUAAAACUUAAAUGAAUUGACGGGGUCAUAGCUGUUUCCU